rnacentral:rRNA from 1 species
AGUGAACGCUGGCGGUAGGCCUAACACAUGCAAGUCGAACGGUAGCACAGUAAGAGCUUGCUCUUACGGGUGGCGAGUGGCGGACGGGUGAGGAAUACAUCGGAAUCUACUUUUUCGUGGGGGAUAACGUAGGGAAACUUACGCUAAUACCGCAUACGACCUACGGGUGAAAGCAGGGGAUCUUCGGACCUUGCGCGAUUGAAUGAGCCGAUGUCGGAUUAGCUAGUUGGCGGGGUAAAGGCCCACCAAGGCGACGAUCCGUAGCUGGUCUGAGAGGAUGAUCAGCCACACUGGAACUGAGACACGGUCCAGACUCCUACGGGAGGCAGCAGUGGGGAAUAUUGGACAAUGGGCGCAAGCCUGAUCCAGCCAUACCGCGUGGGUGAAGAAGGCCUUCGGGUUGUAAAGCCCUUUUGUUGGGAAAGAAAAGCAGCAGGUUAAUACCCCGCUGUUCUGGCGGUACCCAAAGAAUAAGCACCGGCUAACUUCGUG